rnacentral:rRNA from 1 species
GGGAUUGCCCUAGUAACGGCGAGUGAAGCGGCAACAGCUCAAAUUUGAAAUCUGGCCCUCGGGUCCGAAUUGUAAUUUGUAGAGGAUGCUUUUGGCGCGGUGCCUACCGAGUUCCCUGGAACGGGACGCCUUAGAGGGUGAGAGCCCCGUACGGUUGGACACCAAGCCUCUGUAAAGCUCCUUCGACGAGUCGAGUAGUUUGGGAAUGCUGCUCUAAAUGGGAGGUAAAUUUCUUCUAAAGCUAAAUAUUGGCCAGAGACCGAUAGCGCACAAGUAGAGUGAUCGAAAGAUGAAAAGCACUUUGAAAAGAGGGUUAAAUAGCACGUGAAAUUGUUGAAAGGGAAGCGUUUGCGACCAGACCUUUUCCCGGCGGAUCAUCCGGUGUUCUCACCGGUGCACUUCGCCGGGUUUAGGCCAGCAUCGGUUUUUGUAGGGGGAUAAAAGCUUUGGGAACGUAGCUCCCUCGGGAGUGUUAUAGCCCUUUGCAUAAUACCCUUACGGGGACCGAGGACCGCGCUUCUGCAAGGAUGCUGGCGUAAUGGUCGUCAACGACCCGU